GAUGGCGACCGGCGCACGGGUGAGUAACACGUAUCCAACCUGCCGAUAACUCGGGGAUAGCCUUUCGAAAGAAAGAUUAAUACCCGAUAGUAUAAUGAAACCGCAUGGUCUUAUUAUUAAAGAAUUUCGGUUAUCGAUGGGGAUGCGUUCCAUUAGGCAGUUGGUGAGGUAACGGCUCACCAAACCUUCGAUGGAUAGGGGUUCUGAGAGGAAGGUCCCCCACAUUGGAACUGAGACACGGUCCAAACUCCUACGGGAGGCAGCAGUGAGGAAUAUUGGUCAAUGGACGAGAGUCUGAACCAGCCAAGUAGCGUGAAGGAUGACUGCCCUAUGGGUUGUAAACUUCUUUUAUAUGGGAAUAAAGUUUUCCACGUGUGGAAUUUUGUAUGUACCAUAUGAAUAAGGAUCGGCUAACUCCGUGCCAGCAGCCGCGGUAAUACGGAGGAUCCGAGCGUUAUCCGGAUUUAUUGGGUUUAAAGGGAGCGUAGGUGGACAGUUAAGUCAGUUGUGAAAGUUUGCGGCUCAACCGUAAAAUUGCAGUUGAUACUGGCUGUCUUGAGUACAGUAGAGGUGGGCGGAAUUCGUGGUGUAGCGGUGAAAUGCUUAGAUAUCACGAAGAACUCCGAUUGCGAAGGCAG
rnacentral:rRNA from 1 species